UUCCCAUUACAUAGUCUCCGGCGUCUCUUGGGCUGGGGUGUUCUAUGUUUAAGGUCAAUUUUAUUGGAGUAGACCCUGUUGGUUUACACAAAGUCAUUCGGUGUAACAAAGGUUUCCCGUGUCUGUCAACUCGGUUUAAGGCAGUCUGCGGUCUGUAACCCCAUGGUCGGCCUGUGUUCCAACCCGCUGCUUUCCAUGAACUACAGUGAUGUCCCCAAUGACCGCCCGUCACACAUAUGUACGGGUCCUUCUUGUUUGGUAUGUCUUUGUAUAUUGCUGAGUGUUGUGAUUGUGGAAAUGUACAAGUAACAAUAUCACAGUAAUCAAAAGUAAAUGUAGCCACAUUUGUGUUGGAAGAAUUGUACCAAAAUGUGUAAACAUGAUUGUCUUUGGUAAUAGCAACUCGUUGGGCCUCCAAGAGGCCUAGCAGCAAACAUAAACAUAAAGGGCUCAUGUUGGUGUGGGAU